rnacentral:rRNA from 1 species
GAUGAACGCUGGCGGCGUGCCUAAUACAUGCAAGUCGAGCGAACAGAUGAGGAGCUUGCUCCUCUGACGUUAGCGGCGGACGGGUGAGUAACACGUGGAUAACCUACCUAUCAGACUGGGAUAACUUCGGGAAACCGGAGCUAAUACCGGAUAAUAUAUUGAACCGCAUGGUUCAAUAGUGAAAGACGGUUUUGCUGUCACUUAUAGAUGGAUCCGCGCCGCAUUAGCUAGUUGGUAAGGUCACGGCUUACCAAGGCAACGAUGCGUAGCCGACCUGAGAGGGUGAUCGGCCACACUGGAACGUAGACACGGACAAUACGCCUACGGGAGGCAGCAGUAGGGAAUCGUCCGCAAUGGGCGAAAGCCUGACGGAGCAACGCCGCGUGAGUGAUGAAGGUCUUCGGAUCGGAAAACUCUGUUAUUAGGGAAGAACAAAUGUGUAAGUAACUAUGCACGUCUUGACGGUACCUAAUCAGAAAGCCACGGCUAACUACGUG